AGCAGCCGCGGUAAUUCCAGCUCCAAUAGCGUAUAUUAAAGUUGUUGCAGUUAAAAAGCUCGUAGUUGAAUUUCGGGAUCAAUAUGUUGGUCGUGCCUUGGUACGUACUGGCGUCAUUGAUUUCUACCUUCUGAAGAACCUCGAUGUCAUUAAUUUGGUGUCUUGGGGGAAUCAGGACUGUUACUUUGAAAAAAUUAGAGUGUUUAAAGCAAGCUCACGCUUGAAUACAUUAGCAUGGAAUAAUGAAAUAGGACGUUUGAUUCUAUUUUGUUGGUUUCUAGGAUCGACGUAAUGAUUAAUAGGGAUAGUUGGGGGCAUUAGUAUUCAAUUGUCAGAGGUGAAAUUCUUGGAUUUAUUGAAGACUAACUACUGCGAAAGCAUUUGCCAAGGAUGUUUUCAUUAAUCAAGAACGAAAGUUAGGGGAUCGAAGACGAUCAGAUACCGUCGUAGUCUUAACCAUAAACUAUGCCGACUAGGGAUCGGAUGAUGUUAAUUUUUUAAUGACUCAUUCGGCGCCUUA
rnacentral:rRNA from 1 species